rnacentral:rRNA from 1 species
UACGUAGGGGGCAAGCGUUGUCCGGAAUUACUGGGCGUAAAGGGCGUGUAGGCGGCCGAUCAAGUCAGGUGUGAAAUUCCAGGGCCCAACCCUGGACGUGCACUUGAAACUGGUUGGCUUGAGUGCAGAAGAGGAAAGUGGAAUUCCCAGUGUAGCGGUGAACAACACACACACUGGGAGGAACACCAGUGGCGAAGGCGACUUUCUGGUCUGUAACUGACGCUGAGGCGCGAAAGCUAGGGGAGCAAACAGG